rnacentral:lncRNA from 1 species
CCCCGGCCCCGUUAACCUCGGUGCUCACAGGGCCUCCCCCCCACGGCAGGAGAAACUGAGGCCCGUGCCCGUGGGACGAGCUCCUCGGGGACAGGCGGGGGCGCUCCGAGAGGAGGGUCUCCAGGGAGGGUGGGGGGCGCGGGACCCAGCUGAAGGCCUGUUGCGCACCUGCCCCGACUGCGGCCCGGAGGCCCCCGGAGGGGUCGCCCCAGGAGCGGGCGCGGGCGUGGACCCUGGUGGGCCGGCAGGGGAGCCGGGCGGGGUCCGGCGAGGCCAGGCCGAGAGCGCAGACGGCUCCCUUUCCCCCGCUCGGCAGACACCGGGUAUCGGAGCCCGAGGGAGAGGAGCCGUGGACAGGGAGGGGCCGGCGCACAUGCCCCCGCUUCCCAUCCACACUCAGGGUUCACCCGCGGCCUCUACACUCAGGAUCGCGUCCUGGCCUUUCUCUCCCUCGCCAUCAGCUUGGCUACUUCCACCCCGGAGCCCUCAUGCUGGACUUUUUUAAGAAGUUCGAGUGGGUCUAUUUCUGUUUGGGAGAUAGGGUGCCCUCCUCCCCUCGGAGGUGCUGGGGACAGGACAGGAGGGCCGACAGCGGGCACUGAUCCCUUUCCGAUGCGCACAGGCCAGGUCCAGGGGAAAGGGCAGCAGAAAUGGGGCCUGCAGCUGGGGGAAUCCUGUCUUGGAAAAAUUGUGGACAGAACUGCAACGGGUAAUCCCCACCCAAGCCCACGGGUCCCCUCGCAUCCAUGGCCCUCCUCUGGGGUGCAGGUAGGGGAGUCAUGGCAUGGUCCCCCCGCUGGGCUCUGCUGGGGGUGGAGAAGCUGUUUGUGCAGGGUAGACGCUCAGGGGCAAAGGAACCAAGGGGGGACAUGUCUGCCUGUGAAGCCAGGACAGCAGGGGGCCCUUCUCCCUCUUGUCUUCGCUGAAGGUGGGAAUGAAUCCUGGGUGUCCUCAGCCUUGGAGGGCGGGCAGAGGGGAAUGAGGAAGAAGAGGGCCUUGGGCUGGAGUUCUCCGUCCUCCACGCAGACCCUCCUCUCGCUGUCCCAGCCUGAGGCCCGGGGCCUGCUCCCUGCACUGGGGCCCCCAUCUGCCCACCCCAAGGUUUCCCUGGCGUUGAGGCCAGAGACCCCCUCAGGGCUCCACCCCCAGGAUUCUGCUUUGGGUCAGUGUCCUCUCCUGCUCGGGGUCGCCGCCCUGCCGAAACCCGGGAGGAAGGGCUGUGGAACGCCAUGAUGCCUCUGCCUACGUGGGAGGACCCUCGUCUCGGGGUGCAGACAAGUCCCCGUCGCCUGU